rnacentral:tRNA from 1 species
ACUCAAAAUUAGCACUUUAAGCAAUGG